rnacentral:snRNA from 1 species
AAAGUUUUUUUGUAAUAAAAACUAAUAAAUAAUAAUCUGUUCUUAUCAGUUUAAUAUCUGAUACGUCCCCUACCCGGGGACCAUAUAUUAAAUUGAUUUUUGGAAUAGGGAGAUGGAAUAGGGGCUUGCUCCGUCUAAUCCACGCAUCGACCUGGUAUUGCAGUGCCUCCAGGAAUGGUGCACCCCCU